rnacentral:tRNA from 1 species
GCGCCCGUAGCUCAGAUGGAUAGAGCGACGGACUUCGAAUCCGUAGGCCGCAGGUUCGAGUCCUGUCGGACGCA